GUCCACGCCGUAAACGAUGAAUACUAGGUGUCGGGGACAAUAGUUCCUCGGUGCCGAAGCAAACGCAUUAAGUAUUCCACCUGGGGAGUACGUUCGCAAGAAUGAAACUCAAAUGAAUUGACGGGGGCCCGCACAAGCGGUGGAGCAUGUGGUUUAAUUCGAAGCAACGCGAAGAACCUUACCUGGUCUUGACAUCCCGAUGACAGAUCUGUAAUGAGAUCCUUACUUCGGUACAUUGGAGACAGGUGGUGCAUGGCUGUCGU
rnacentral:rRNA from 1 species